rnacentral:rRNA from 1 species
AUUGAACGCUGGCGGCAUGCCUUACACAUGCAAGUCGAACGGCAGCACGGGAGCAAUCCUGGUGGCGAGUGGCGAACGGGUGAGUAAAGUUUCGGAACGUGCCCAGUCGUGGGGGAUAACGUAGCGAAAGUUACGCUAAUACCGCAUACGAUCUAUGGAUGAAAGCGGGGGAUCGCAAGACCUCGCGCGAUUGGAGCGGCCGAUAUCAGAUUAGGUAGUUGGUGGGGUAAAGGCUCACCAAGCCGACGAUCUGUAGCUGGUCUGAGAGGACGACCAGCCACACUGGGACUGAGACACGGCCCAGACUCCUACGGGAGGCAGCAGUGGGGAAUUUUGGACAAUGGGCGAAAGCCUGAUCCAGCCAUGCCGCGUGCAGGAUGAAGGCCUUCGGGUUGUAAACUGCUUUUGUACGGAACGAAAAGGUUUGGCCUAAUAAGCUGAGCUCAUGACGGUACCGUAAGAAUAAGUACCGGCUAACUACGUGCCAGCCGCCGCGGUAA